rnacentral:rRNA from 1 species
CGCGUAGGCGGCUCGCUAAGUCGGAUGUGAAAACUCUGGGCUCAACCCAGAGCCUGCAUUCGAAACUGACGAGCUCGAGUUCUGGAGGGGAAAGCGGAAUUCCUGGUGUAGCGGUGAAAUGCGUAGAUAUCAGGAGGAACACCGGUGGCGAAGGCGGCUUUCUGGACAGAAACUGACGCUGAUGCGCGAAAGCUAGGGAGCAAACA